AUAUUCUGCCCAGUGAACUAUUCAACGGCCGCGGUACCCUGACCGUGCAAAGGUAGCAUAAUCACUUGCCUUUUAAUUGAAGGCUAGAAUGAACGAACCAACGUGAGCUUACCUGUCUCCACCAUGCACAUGAAAAUUAACCUUUAGGUGAAAAGGCCUAAAUAAGACUAAAAGACAAGAAGACCCUAUCGAGCUUCAUUGCUAAAUUAUUACACUACCUAAUUCAACUUUAACCUCCUAUAAUAAUUGAACCAUUUUGUUGGGGCAACAAAGGAACACCCUAAAGCUUCCUAAAAAUUAUAAAUAGACCUAUUACGACCCAGACAACUGAUCAAAGGACAAAGCUACCGUAGGGAUAACAGGUUAAUUUUUCUCGAGAGCCCACAUUAACAGAAAAGUUUGACACCUCGAUGUUGGCUUAGGCUAUCCCAUUAAUGCAGAAGUUAGUAAAGGUGGU
rnacentral:rRNA from 1 species